rnacentral:rRNA from 1 species
ACUCCUGCGGCAGGCAGCAGUGGGGAAUAUUGGACAAUGGGCGCAAGCCUGAUCCAGCCAUGCCGCGUGAGUGAUGAAGGCCCUAGGGUUGUAAAGCUCUUUCACCGGAGAAGAUAAUGACGGUAUCCGGAGAAGAAGCCCCAGCUAACUUCGUGCCAGCAGCCGCGGUAAUACGAAGGGGGCUAGCGUUGUUCGGAAUUACUGGGCGUAAAGCGCACGUAGGCGGAUCGAUCAGUCAGGGGUGAAAUCCCAGGGCUCAACCCUGGAACUGCCUUUGAUACUGUCGAUCUGGAGUAUGGAAGAGGUGAGUGAAAUUCCGAGUGUAGAGGUGAAAUUCGUAGAUAUUCGGAGGAACACCAGUGGCGAAGGCGGCUCACUGGUCCAUUACUGACGCUGAGGUGCGAAAGCGUGGGGAGCAAACAGGAUUAGAUACCCUAGUAGCCCAUGA